GAUGAACGCUGACAGAAUGCUUAACACAUGCAAGUCAACUUGAACUUCGGUUUGGGUGGCGGACGGGUGAGUAACGCGUAAAGAACUUGCCUCACAGAUAGGGACAACAUUUGGAAACGAAUGCUAAUACCUGAUAUUAUGAUUUUAGGGCAUCCUAGGAUUAUGAAAGCUAUAUGCGCUGUGAGAGAGCUUUGCGUCCCAUUAGCUAGUUGGAGAGGUAACGGCUCACCAAGGCGAUGAUGGGUAGCCGGCCUGAGAGGGUGAGCGGCCACAAGGGGACUGAGACACGGCCCUUACGCCUACGGGAGGCAGCAGUGGGGAAUAUUGGACAAUGGAACAAGAGUCUGAUCCAGCAAUUCUGUGUGCACGAUGAAGUUUUUCGGAAUGUAAAGUGCUUUAAGUUGGGAAGAAAAAAAUGACGGUACCAACAGAAGAAGUGACGGCGAAAUACGU
rnacentral:rRNA from 1 species